rnacentral:rRNA from 1 species
GAUUAACGCUGGCGGCGUGCCUAAGGUAUGCAAGUCGAACGAUAAGCCAUCUUCGGAUGGUGGACAGUGGCAAACUGCUGAGUAACGCGUAGGAACCUACCCAUAAGUCAAGGAUAGCUC